AGCAGCCGCGGUAAUUCCAGCUCCAAUAGCGUAUAUUAAAGUUGCUGCAGUUAAAAAGCUCGUAGUUGAAUUUCGGGAUCAUCAUGUCGGUCGUGCCUCGGUACGUACUGGCAUUGUUGGUUUCUACCUUCUGACGAACCAUGAUGUCAUUUAUUUGGUGUCGUGGGAAAUCAGGACUGUUACUUUGAAAAAAUUAGAGUGUUUAAAGCAGGCUUUAGCUUGAAUACAUUAGCAUGGAAUAAUGAAAUAGGACGUUCGAACCUAUUUUGUUGGUUUCUAGGAUCAACGUAAUGAUUAAUAGGGAUAGUUGGGGGCAUUAGUAUUCAAUUGUCAGAGGUGAAAUUCUUGGAUUUAUUGAAGACUAACUACUGCGAAAGCAUUUGCCAAGGAUGUUUUCAUUAAUCAAGAACGAAAGUUAGGGGAUACGAAGACGAUCAGAU
rnacentral:rRNA from 1 species